CUGAACUCUGAAAUAAGCAAAACUAACUACUCUAAACAGUGAUGAUGAUUUUAUAUAGACAUAUAUAUAUAUAUAUAUAUAUAGAAUUAGGCUGGAAUACUAUUAAUAGUAAAACGCUCUUUUUGCUUUAACCCUUGGAUAAAAAAUUAUAGGGUCAGGAUGAUAUUAAUUAGUUAGAGUUAAGUGGUCCCCCCUAGGGUUGAGUGGUCCCCACUUGGUUAUAGUAUUUAAUCCAAUGGUUAGAAAUAAUGAAAAGAGUUAAUUCAAAGGCUAAAAAACUGAUAGCAACAAUGGAAUUUUGCUACUAAUAGUAGCCCAGUCCAACUCUCUCUCUCUCUCUCUCUCUCUCUCUCUCUCUAUAUAUAUAUAUAUAUAUAUAUAUAUGGGAGGCUACUAUAUAGGCUGGGCUAUACUCAUAUGAGUAUAGAGCCCUUUGUACUCAUAAAUUUUUGACCGUUCAGAUAAAAAAAUAUACGGUUAGGAUGAAAAUGGUUACGGUUAGAUUGAUAGUAGGCCUCCUAAGGUUGAGUGGGUGGUUGGUUGAAUAGUAUAAUCCAACGGGUGAAAAUGAUUAAAGGGUAUAUCUAACAGCAAAAAAAUUAUGAGUACAAUAGGCUCUAUACUCAUAAAAGUAUAGUAGCCGGAUUCUAUAUAUAUAUAUAUAUAU
rnacentral:lncRNA from 1 species